rnacentral:rRNA from 1 species
UGGGGAAUAUUGCACAAUGGGCGAAAGCCUGAUGCAGCAACGCCGCGUGAGUGAUGAAGGUCUUCGGAUUGUAAAGCUCUGUCUUUUGGGACGAUAAUGACGGUACCAAAGGAGGAAGCCACGGCUAACUACGUGCCAGCAGCCGCGGUAAUACGUAGGUGGCGAGCGUUGUCUGGAUUUACUGGGCGUAAAGGGUGCGUAGGCGGAUGUUUAAGUGAGAUGUGAAAUACCCGGGCUUAACUUGGGUGCUGCAUUUCAAACUGGAUAUCUAGAGUGCAGGAGAGGAGAAUGGAAUUCCUAGUGUAGCGGUGAAAUGCGUAGAGAUUAGGAAGAACACCAGUGGCGAAGGCGAUUCCCUGGACUGUAACUGACGCUGAGGCACGAAAGCGUGGGUAGCAAACAGGAUUAGAUACCCUGGUAGUCCACGCCGUAAACGAUGAGUACUAGGUGUAGGAGGUAUCGACCCCUUCUGUGCCGCAGUAAACACAUUAAGUACUCCGCCUGGGAAGUACGAUCGCAAGAUUAAAAC